GUUGGUGCUUGCAUCAACUAGAUUUAACAUUAAGAUGAGUGGCGAACUGGUGAGUAACACGUGGGUAACCUGCCUCGAAGCAGGGGAUAACAUUUGGAAACAAGUGCUAAUACCGUAUAACAACUCAAACCACAUGGUUUGAGUUUGAAAGAUGGUUUCGGCUAUCACUUCGAGAUGGACCCGCGGCGUAUUAGCUAGUUGGUAAGGUAAUGGCUUACCAAGGCGAUGAUACGUAGCCGACCUGAGAGGGUAAUCGGCCACAUUGGGACUGAGACACGGCCCAAACUCCUACGGGAGGCAGCAGUAGGGAAUCUUCCACAAUGGACGCAAGUCUGAUGGAGCAAUGCCGCGUGAGUGAAGAAGGGUUUCGGCUCGUAAAACUCUGUUGUUGGAGAAGAACAGGUGUUAGAGUAACUGUUAACAUCUUGACGGUAUCCAACCAGAAAGCCACGGCUAACUACGUGCCAGCAGCCGCGGUAAUACGUAGGUGGCAAGCGUUGUCCGGAUUUAUUGGGCGUAAAGAGGGCGCAGGCGGUUUUUUAAGUCUGAUGUGAAAGCCUUCGG
rnacentral:rRNA from 1 species